UUCAGUCUCUUUUCUACAGACUGUGAUUGCACGUCUGACUUGUCUCCCCAGCCCUGCACAGUGCCUGGCAUGCAGAAGUGCUCAGUAAGUGUGGUGAAUGAAUGAAGGCUUGCCUGAAUGUGUAGUGGGCAGUUCUGGGAGAGGGUCCACCGGGCGGGCCUCUGGAAUCUCACCUUCCACUAGGGGGAGCUCUCACCUUGAGUCCAGCCACCACCACGCUGGAUGCUACGAAUUCAGUUUCCCUGGACACAACUCAAACCUAUAUCCCCUUUUCUUCUCAGCACAGCUGAGGCAGGCUGGCAUUUCCAGAGGGCUAGGGUGGGAGGGGGAGCAGUAGGGAAAUGAACACAUACCCUGUCCGGCUCACAGAGUUCAGGUUUCUCUUCUACCACGGUUGGCCCCACAUGGAAUCCGAACAGGAGGAAGAGACAGGUUCAGGACAAAAGGCUGGGAUUUCAGCCCUUACUCCCUGCCUCCAGGAAACUUCUCUCAGAGGCUUUCACCCAUCAUCCCCUCAUGGACUCUGCAGCCACUUUGCCAAGAGAGGGUGGCAGCUGUCUCUAUAAGGGCCCUUUCAUCAUCCUUACAGUGCAAACAAAAACACAGCCAUCCCUCGGCAUCUCUGGGGGAUUGGAUCCAGGACCCCUAGCGAAUAGCAAAAUCCAAGCAUGCUCAAAAGUCCCUUAUAUAAAAUGGUGUAGUAUUUGCCUAUAACCUAUACACAUCCUCCCAUAUACUUUAAAUCAGCUCUAGAUUACUCAUAAUACCUGGUACAAUGUAAAUGCUGUGUAAAUGGUUGUAAUACUGCAUUAUUUAGGAAUAACAAGAAAAAGGUGUACAUGUUCAGUGCUGACACUACUCUCCAUUUUCUUUUUUUCUGAGUAUUUUUGAUCUGCAGUUGGUUGACUCCACGGAUGCAGAACCCAUGGAUGGAUACAGAGGGUUGACUGUAUAAGAAGUUUUCUAUAAAUGUCUGCUGUGGACUGAACUGAUGGAAUAAGCAUCCAAAAGGAAUGCCACCGGCUGAAAUGCUGACCCUCAUCACCAAGAUAAAACAUUGCAGGGAUGCAUGAAAAUUACAUUUGGGGAGUAAAUAGGCAGCCCAAGUACAGAGUGAAGAAGACCUGCUUAGAGGUGGCACACAUGAAAACAACUCAAAGGUUUACUUGCCCAUCUGAAUAUUCAUCCAUCCAUCCAUCCAUCCAUCCAUCCAUCCAUCCAUCCAUCCAUCCAACCAUCCAACCCCCUCUUGCCCUCAGAAGUUUAACCACCAGGAUUGAGCCCCUCUGUGUCCCAUGCCAACCUCCUAAGGUCAGAUGGGUUGGCUGUGCCCACUGUGUAAGAGGGGGUAGGCCAGGUUCAGGGAGGACACACAGACAAUUCCUCACCCCUCCACCCCCAUUCCCUGCUGGUCAGACCAGUUCCAGGGAUCAGUAUUUAAUACCUGGCCCUCAGAAUGGGAGGGAGAUGGCAAUGUGUGUGUGCGUGUGUGUGUGUUUCUUCAGGAACACCUUUUUUUUUUUUUGAGAUGGAAUCUCGCUCAGUCGCCCAUGCUGGAGUGCAGUGGCACAAUCUCAGAUCGCUGCAACCUCCGCCUCCCCAGUUCAAGCAAUUCUCCUGCCUCAGCCUCCUGAGUAGCUGGGACUACAGGUGCCCACCACCAUGCCCAGCUAAUUUGUGUAUUUUUAGUAGAGAUGGGGUUUCCCAUAUUGGCCAGGCUGGUCUCAAACUCCUGACCUUGUGAUCUGCCCACCUUGGCCUCCGAAAGUGCUGGGAUUACAGGUGUGAGCCACUGUGCCCGGCCCAGGGACUUUUCUUUAAAAAUAGACUUACAUUUAUUUUUUAUUUUUUAUUUUAUUUUUGAGAUGAAGUUUUACUCUUGUUGCCAAGGCUGGAGUGCAAUGGUGCGACCUCGGUCCACUGCAACCUCUGCCUCCUGGGAUCUAGCGAUUCUCCGGCCUCAGCCUCCUGAGUAGCUGGGAUUACAGGCACCCACCACCACGCCUGGCUAAUUUUUUGUAUUUUUAGUGGAGAUGGGGUUUCACCAUGUUGGCCAGGCUGGUCUUGAACUCCUGACCUCAGGUGAUCCACCCACCUCGGCCUCCCAAAGUGCUGGGAUUACAGGCGUGAGCCACCCUGACUGGGUAACAGACUUUUUUUUUUUUUAAAAGAGCAAUUUUAGGCUCACAAUCAGAUUGAGUGGAAGGUACAGACAGUCUAUGGGAAAUAGACUCCCUACCUCCACAUAGGUAUGGCCUCUCCCACUAUUAAAAAUCCCGUACUAAAAAUAAAAAACAUUCUACACCAGAGGCGUCCAUUUGUGGUAGUUGGUGAACACACACUGACACACUGCGACUGGUCUGUAGGUAAGUGGGGUUGUUUGAUGUUGGUGUGAGGGCUUGCUCUGAGCUGGCCAUUGUGACAAUGCUUUCCCACAGCUACUGAUCAAUGGAGUCAAGACUUGAAACCAGGUUUGCCCGACUCUGAAGCCCAGGCUCCUAACAGCUGUGUUGCUAAGUGGCCUGAUGACGAUAGCAUAGGUUUAAAUAUCUGAAAAAGUGGUUUGGUGAGGAGUAGCCAUCUUCCAAUAUUUGAAGGACUAUCCCAAGAAGGCUAGAUGGAGUUAUUCUGUGUAGCUUCCCAGGGAAAUACCUAGACCAGUGGGUGAAGCGUAGGGGAGGGAAAUUUUGUCCGCAUAGAAGGGUAGCCCUGUGGCAUCAGGGCUUACUUUGAGAGGUAAUGAAUUGCCCAGCACCAGAGGCUGGGCACAUUUGAAGGAAAACCCCUGUCUUGGGGAAGGUUGGGCUUCACCACCUGAAAGGUCUCUUUUAUUUUGAUUUAUUUAUUUUAAGACACAAGAUCUCACUCUGUCGCUUAUCCUGGGGUGCAAUGGUACAAUUAGAACUCACUGCAGCCUCCAACUCCUGGGCUCAAGCGAUCCUCCCACCUCAGCCUCCCAAGUAGCUGGGACCACAGGUGUUCACCACACCUGGAUAAUUUUUUCAUUCUUUGUAGAGAUGCAAGUCUCGCUAUGUCACUCAGGCUAGUUUCAAACUCCCGGUCUCAAGCGAUCCUCCCACCUCAGGUCCCCAAAGUGUUGGGAUUACAGGCAGGAGCCACCACGCCCAGCUAAAAGGCCUCUUUUGACUCUCAUUUUGAUCAGUUCAAUUUGGUUCAGCCUCUGUUGAGCACCCACUCUGUGCUAGCUCUGGGCUGGGUACUGGGGAUGAGUAACACACGAUCCCAGUGCUUGCUUCGGCAGCACAUGUACUAAAAUUGCAACGAUACAGAGACGAUUAGCAUGGCCCUGUGCAAAGAUGACAUGCAAAUUUGUGAAGCAUCACAUUAAAAAAGAAAAAGACAAGAUCCCAGUCCUCAAGGGGCUGCCAGCCUAGGUUGGAAGGCAGCUUGUGCCGUUCUGUUACUUGCUGUCCCUUUUUGCCCUGGAUGCCGUGGGGGCUUUCAGGGAUGAGGGUCCCAGGAGUGUUGCAAAAUGAAAAGAAGCUGGCUACUGAGGGGAUGGUGGGUGUGAGCAGGAGGUCAGGCUGGGGGACCCUGGCCAGCUAGUCUCUGGGUCAGUCAUCCCCAAGGAGGUCUUUACUCACUGUGGAAUGGAAGAGGCCUUCGUUAGGGAUCUUCAGGCCCGUACUCAGGCAGAGAGCGGAGGACUCAAAGAGCACAGGCCCUGCCACCCUCCCCUUCCGCCUCUCCCCGAGGGUCCUCCCUCAUCUGCCUAACGGGGAUAUAGGGGAACUGCCACCUUCCUUCAUGAAGCACAUUCACUUCUCCUAGGUUGACAGCAACAUGGAGCCAGGAGCUCCACUCAGAGAGGGCUAUGGGACCUCCAGCCUGGGCUCUUUCAUAAUCCCUCUUCCCCUUCUGACAGGUGCCCAGGGAACAAGCGCCUAUAGGUGGUCUAAACCCCAAAAACCUGCUUCACGAGGAUUACGGGUGUGGCUCCAUCCUGCCCCCUACUUGCCUCAGGUGGUGACCUCCAUUGCAGUCACUGUCAUCCGGGAUCCCAAGUCUCACAGGUGACGAUGAUGAUGAAUAUGAAAGUGAUGGAUGACAACAAUAAAUAGCAUUGUUCGGCACUCAAA